GACGUAGGGCGCGAGCGUUGUCCGGAUUUAUUGGGCGUAAAGAGCUUGUAGGCGGUUUGUCGCGUCUGCUGUGAAAUUUCGGGGCUCAACCCCGAACUUGCAGUGGGUACGGGCAGACUAGAGUGUGGUAGGGGAGACUGGAAUUCCUGGUGUAGCGGUGAAAUGCGCAGAUAUCAGGAGGAACACCGAUGGCGAAGGCAGGUCUCUGGGCCGAUACUGACGCUGAGGAGCGAAAGCGUGGGGAGCGAACAGG
rnacentral:rRNA from 1 species